rnacentral:rRNA from 1 species
AACGAACGCUGGCGGCACGUUUUAAGCAUGCAAGUCGAAUGGCAGCAGGGGCAACUCUGUGAGAAUGGCGAACGGGUGAGUAACACGUAGGUGAUCUGCCUUGAGGAUGUGGAUAGCCUGUGGAAACACAGGGUAAUACCGAAUGAGCUGACGAGACUGUGGUUUUGUUAGUAACGGUGCUACGGCACCGCCUUGAGAGGAGCCUGCGGCAGAUUAGCUAGUUGGUGGGGUAAGAGCUUACCAAGGUGACGAUCAGUAGCCGGCCUGAGAGGGUGUACGGCCCCACUGGAACUGAGACACGGUCCGGACGCCUACGGGAGGCAGCAGCUAAGAAUCUUCCGCAAUGGGCGAAAGCCUGACGGAGCGAUGCCGCGUGAUCGAUGAAGGUCGAGAGAUUGUAAAGAUCUUUUCUACAUGAGGAAUAAGUCUGGGAAGGAAUGCCCGGAUGAUGACGUUAGUGUAGGAAUAAGCCCCGGCUAAUUACGUGCCAGCAGCCGCCGUAA